rnacentral:rRNA from 1 species
AUUGAACGCUGGCGGCAUGCUUUACACAUGCAAGUCGAACGGUAACAGGCCGCAAGGUGCUGACGAGUGGCGAACGGGUGAGUACUGCAUCGGAACGAGCCCAGUCGUGGGGGAUAACGCAGCGAAAGCUGCGCUAAUACCGCAUACGAUCUAUGGAUGAAAGCGGGGGACCGUAAGGCCUCGCGCGAUUGGAGCGGCCGAUGUCAGAUUAGGUAGUUGGUGGGGUAAAGGCCCACCAAGCCAACGAUCUGUAGCUGGUCUGAGAGGACGACCAGCCACACUGGGACUGAGACACGGCCCAGACUCCUACGGGAGGCAGCAGUGGGGAAUUUUGGACAAUGGGCGCAAGCCUGAUCCAGCAAUGCCGCGUGCAGGAAGAAGGCCUUCGGGUUGUAAACUGCUUUUGUACGGAACGAAACGGUUCUCUCUAAUACAGGGGGCUAAUGACGGUACCGUAAGAAUAAGCACCGGCUAACUACGUGCCAGCCGCCGCCGUAACAC